GUGGUUGGAAGUUUGGACCCUUGCUUAUUUUUCUUCUUCUUAAUCUUCCUUUUCUUCUUCUUCUUAUCCAACGAGUUACUAGGGCUCAACCCUGGAUAGAUGGUGGAAACUACCAAGCUGGAUUAUGGUAGGGGUAGAGGGAAUUUCCGGUGGAGCGGUGAAAGGCGUUGAGAUUGGAAAGAACACCAACGGUGAAAGCACUUUGUUGGGCCAACACUGACACUGAGAGAUGAAAUCUAGGGGAGAAAAUGGGAUUAGAUACCCCAGUAGUCCUAGCUGAAAACAAUGGAUACUAAGUGUUAUGUGUAUCGACCCACACAGUGUUGUAUCUAACGCGUUAAGUAUCCCUCCUGGGGAUUACGUUCGCAAGAAUGAAACUCAAAGGAAUUGACAGGGGGCCACACAAGCGGUAGAUCAUGUGGUUCAAUUCGAUGCAAAAUGAAGAACCUUACCAGGGCUUGACAUGCCGUGAAUCCUCGAGAGAGAGAGAGGAGUGCCUUCGGGAAUGCAGACACAGAUGGUGCAUGGUUGUUUUCAUCUCGUGCCAUUAGAUGUUGGGUUGAGUCCCGCAAUGAGAAAAACCCUCGUGUUUAGUUUCCAGCAUUGAGUUUGGAACCCUGAACAGACUGUCGGUGAUAAGCCGGAGGAAGGUGAGGAUGACGUCAAGUCAUCAUGCCCCUUACGCCUUGGGUGACACAUGUGCUACAAUGACCAGGAAAAAGGGUCGCAACCCCACGAGGGAAACCUAACCUCAAAAACCCAGCCUCAGUUUGGGUUGCAGGUUGCAACUCGCCUGCAUGAAGCCGGAACCGCUAGUAAUCGUCGGUCAUCCAUA
rnacentral:ncRNA from 1 species